UAUCUUAGUGGCGGACGGGUGAGUAACGCGUGGGCAACCUACCGUAUACAGGGGGAUAACACUUAGAAACAGGUGCUAAUACCGCAUAAGCGCACAGGGCCGCAUGGCCCGGUGUGAAAAACUCCGGUGGUGUAAGAUGGACCCGCGUCUGAUUAGCUUGUUGGCGGGGUAGAGGCCCACCAAGGCGACGAUCAGUAGCCGGCCUGAGAGGGUGGACGGCCACAUUGGGACUGAGACACGGCCCAAACUCCUACGGGAGGCAGCAG
rnacentral:rRNA from 1 species